rnacentral:rRNA from 1 species
UACGUAGGGUGCAAGCGUUUGUCCGGAAUUAUUGGGCGUAAAGAGCUCGUAGGCGGUUUGUCGCGUCUGCUGUGAAAACCCGAGGCUCAACCUCGGGCCUGCAGUGGGUACGGGCAGACUAGAGUGCGGUAGGGGAGAUUGGAAUUCCUGGUGUAGCGGUGGAAUGCGCAGAUAUCAGGAGGAACACCAAUGGCGAAGGCAGAUCUCUGGGCCGAUACUGACGCUGGAGGAGCGAAAGCGUGGGGGAGCGAACAGG